rnacentral:lncRNA from 1 species
UCUUUUUUUUUUUUUUUUUUUUUUUUUUUUUUAGCCAAAGAAAUGAAAACUUGAUAAAGAAAAGCAAAGCUGGAUAGGAUGCCUGGAUGGCUAAAUCGGUUAAGCACCUGAGCCUUUAGCUCAGUCAGUUAAGCACCUGAGCUCAGGUCAUGAUCCUAAGGUCCUGGGAUCAAACUCCAUGGCAGGCUCUGUGGUCAGUGGGGAGGGAUGUAGGGAUGCCUGGGUGGGUCAAUAGUUGAGUGCCUGCCUUCUUCCACCCAGGGUGUGAUCCUGGAGUCCCGGGAUCGAGUCCCACAUUGGGCUCCCUGCGUGGAGCCUGCUUCUCCCUCUGCCUAUGUCUCUGCCUCUCUCUCUGUGUGUCUCUCAUAAAUAAAUAAAAUCUUAAAAAAUAAAAUAAAAUAAAUGGUAAAUUAAUCUUUGAUAAAGCAGGAAAGAAUAUCCAAUGGGGAAAAAGUCUCUUCAACAAACAGUAUUGGGAAAACUGGACAACAUGCAAAAGGAGGAAACUGGACCACUUUCUUGCACCAUACACAAAAUACGUUCAAAAUGGAUUAGAGACCUGAAUGUGAGACCUGAAACCAUAAAAAUCAUAGAAAGGAACACAGGUAGUAAUUUCUUGAACAAUGGCCAUAGCAACUUUUUUCUAGAUAGACACCCUGGGGCAAGGAAAAUGAAAGCAAAAAUAACUACUGGGAUUACAUCAAAAUAAAAAGGUUCUGCACAGUGAAGGAAACAAUCAACAAAACCAAAGGCAGCCUUUGAAAUGGGAGAAGGUAUUUGCAAAUAACAUAUCCUAUAAAGUGUUGCUAUCCAAAAUAUAUAAAGAACUUAUAAAACUCAACACUCUAAAAACAAAUAAUCUGAUUAAAAAAAAAAGUGGGCAGAAGACAUGGACAGACAUUUCUCCAAAGAAACAAAGAUGAGGCAGCCCUGGUGGCUCAGCAGUUUAGCGCCGCCUUCAGCCCGGGACCUGAUCCUGGAGACCCAGGAUCGAGUCCCACGUCAGGCUCCCUGCAUGGAGCCUGCUUCUCCCUCUGCCUGUGUCUCUGCCUCUAUCUCUCUGUGUGUCUCUCAUGAAUAAAUAAAUAAAGUCUUAAAAACAAACAAACAAACAAAAAAACAAAGAAACAGAGAUGGUCAACAGACACAAGAAAGGAUGUUCUAC